rnacentral:rRNA from 1 species
GUGGGGAAUCUUCCGCAAUGGACGAAAGUCUGACGGAGCGACGCCGCGUGAGUGAAGAAGGCCUUCGGGUCGUAAAGCUCUGUCAUCAGGGACGAACGGCCGGUGGAGUGGAAAGCCACCAGAUUGACGGUACCUGAGAAGGAAGCCACGGCUAACUACGUGCCAGCAGCCGCGGUAAUACGUAGGUGGCAAGCGUUGUCCGGAAUUAUUGGGCGUAAAGCGCGCGCAGGUGGGAUCUUAAGUCCAUUUUGAAAGUUCGGAGCUCAACUCCGUGAUGGGAUGGAAACUGGGAGUCUUGAGUACCGGAGAGGAAAGCGGAAUUCCCCGUGUAGCGGUGAAAUGCGUAGAUAUGGGGAGGAACACCAGUGGCGAAGGCGGCUUUCUGGACGGUGUCUGACACUGAGGCGCGAAAGCUAGGGGAGCGAACGGGAUUAGAAACCCCUGUAGUCC